GCAGUGUUUGCUGCCCCUAUCAUCAGAGCGACAAUCUAGAAGACAGUUUUCCUAAAUUACUCAAGCUCUUUAACAUUCCUGUCAUGAAGGUAACGAGCAGCAAUUGACGAACGCUAUUAUUUGACAAGCUUUGUGUUCAUAUCUUUGUGUUGGUAGGAGGCGAAGAAGAGAGUUCGUGAAGACACGCCUACUCCGGAAGACGACGACGUGGUGGAAUUAUCUGGUGAAGACAACUUAACCUCCCCGGAGAUGGGAAAGACCAAGGACCUUCUGGAUGAUCCUGACGACACGCAUCACGACAAAGAACUCGAGGACCUGAUGGUUGUAGAGUCAACUGCUCAGGCGUGCAUCACAAGCGCAUUGCAUAUUGAACAAUCAUCUGACACCAACCAGAAUUUGGAAUCUGCGACGUCAGACCAACAAUCAGUAAAGGUGUCUAUCACAAAUGGAGAACUUAGUGCCCAAGAAUGACUUAUUGGUGGUUUUAUAUAAUUAAUUCCGUACAUGAGCGUGAGAGUUGAGUGCUGGCCAAAAUCGUUCACCUUCCUUAUUCUCUCCAUACGUGUAUCACCAAAAUUAAACACAUAUCACCUACCCACGUGAUGACAUACAGAAAGCAGUACGUAUAUUUUUUUUUAAUAUUGGCGUUUUAAAAGAUAAGAGAGUAAUUAUAGGCUGAGAAGAGUGUGUUUAUAUUACUGUAAAUAAUAAAUUACCUGCAGUCUAUGAAGUGACAUUGAUUUACACGUUUUAAAAAUACGAUGAUAAUACUGACAGAGAUAUUCACAUUUUUAUUAGACGAGCGAG